rnacentral:rRNA from 1 species
CCUACGGGAGGCAGCAGUGGGGAAUAUUGCACAAUGGGGGAAACCCUGAUGCAGCGACGCCGCGUGAGUGAAGAAGCGUUUCGGCGCGUAAAGCUCUGUCAGCGGGGAAGAAACACGGUUCGCGAGAGCCGCGGACGGUACCUGACGAAUAAGCCACGGCUAACUACGUGCCAGCAGCCGCGGUAAUACGUAGGUGGCAAGCGUUAUCCGGAUUUACUGGGUGUAAAGGGCGUGUAGGCGGGGAGGCAAGUCAGAUGUGAAAACCACGGGCUCAACCUGUGGCCUGCAUUUGAAACUGUUUUUCUUGAGUGCUGGAGAGGCAAUCGGAAUUCCGUGUGUAGCGGUGAAAUGCGUAGAUAUACGGAGGAACACCAGUGGCGAAGGCGGAUUACUGGACUGUAACUGACGUUGAGGCUCGAAAGCGUGGGGAGCAAACAGGAUUAGAUACCCCAGUAGUC